rnacentral:rRNA from 1 species
GAUGAACGCUGGCGGCGUGCCUAAUACAUGCAAGUCGAGCGAACAGACGAGGAGCUUGCUCCUCUGACGUUAGCGGCGGACGGGUGAGUAACACGUGGAUAACCUACCUAUAAGACUGGGAUAACUUAGGGAAACCGGAGCUAAUACCGGAUAAUAUAUUGAACUGCACGGUUCACUAGUGAAAGACGGUUUUGCUGUCACUUAUAGAUGGAUCCGCGCCGCAUUCGCUAGUUGGUAAGGUAACGGCUUACCAAGGCAACGAUGCGUAGCCGACCUGAGAGGGUGAGCGGCCACACUGGAACUGAGACACGGUCCAGACUCCAACGGGAGGCAGCAGUAGGGUAUCUUCCGCAAUGGGCGAAAGCCUGACGUGGCAACGCCGCGUGAGUGAUGAAGGUCUUCGGAUCGUAAAACUCUGUUAUUAGGGAAGAACAAAUGUGUAAGUAACUAUGCACGUCUUGACGGUACCGAAUCAGAAAGCCACGGCUAACUACGUG